UGAGUGGGGGAAGUGGCGAAAGGGGCAGUAAUGCAUGGGUAACCUACCCUGGAGUUGGGCAUAGCUAUUCUAACGAAUAGGUAAUUCCCGAUGGCCCAGCGAGAAGACAUCUUUUUGCUGGUAAAGAGUUUCGCUCCGGGAGGGGCCCAUGUGCUAUUAGCUAGUUGGCGGGGUAACGGCCCACCAAGGCUAAGAUGGCUAGCGGGUGUGAGAGCACGACCCGCGCCACUGGCACUGAGACACUGGCCAGACACCUACGGGUGGCUGCAGUCGAGGAUCUUCGUCAAUGGGCGAAAGCCUGAACGAGCGACGCCGCGUGCGCGAUGAAGGCCUUCGGGUUGUAAAGCGCGAAAGUGGGGACGAAGCCGAAAGGUUGACCGAUCCACAGUAAGCUCGGGCUAAGUUCGUGCCAGCAGCCGCGGUAAGACGAACCGAGCGAACGUUGUUCGGAAUCACUGGGCUUAAAGGGCGCGUAGGCGGGCAUUCAAGUCCGUGGUGAAAUCCGGCAGCUCAACUGUCGAAUUGCCGCGGAUACUGGGUGUCUCGAGGGAGGUAGGGGCGUGCGGAACUAAUGGUGGAGCGGUGAAAUGCGUUGAUAUCAUUAGGAACUCCGGUGGCGAAGGCGGCACGCUGGACCUCUUCUGACGCUGAGGCGCGAAAGCCAGGGGAGCAAACGGGAUUAGA
rnacentral:rRNA from 1 species